rnacentral:snRNA from 1 species
GAAGGAAACUUGUUGUUGAUA